CGACCCCAGGUCAGGCGGGGCCACCCGCCGAGCUUAAGCAUAUCAAUAAGCGGAGGAGGAGAAACUUACGAGGAUUCCCCUAGUAACGGCGAGCGAACCGGGAAUAGCCCAGCUUGAGAAUCGGGCGGCCGCGCCGCUCGAAUUGUAGUCUGGGGAAGCGUCCUCAGCGGCGGACCGGGCCCGAGUCCCCUGGAAAGGGGCGCCCGGGAGGGUGAGAGCCCCGUCCGGCCCGGACCCUGCCGCACCACGAGGCGCUGUCGGCGAGUCGGGCUGUUUGGGAAUGCAGCCCCAAUCGGGCGGUAAAUUCCGUCCAAGA
rnacentral:rRNA from 1 species